CAGUGCAGUCCGUACAGCGUAAAGUGAAGUGUCAGAUUAGCCAGUGCAGUCCGUACAGGCUAACCAGGGGAAACAUGUUUAGCCUUAAUUUUGAUACAAUUGACGCGGAAAGUAUCCUGACUGAGAAACCACAUGUCACAUGCAUUAAGAUCUGUUUCCCCAGAGUGUGUCUCAUAUUAAUAGUUACGGGGUUAGGUACACACCUGAUACGGGAUAUACGGUUCUGUGGAAAACCAUAUCGGGGCGUAGUUACAGGGUUAGGUACACACCUGAUACGGGAUAUACGGUUCUGUGGAAAACCAUAUCGGGGCGUAGUUACAGGGUUAGGUACACACCUGAUACGGGAUAUACGGUUCUGGGGAGAAACCAUAUCGGGGCGUAGGUACAGGGUUAGGAACACACCCGAUACGGGAUAUACGGUUCUGUGGAAAACCAUAUCGGGGCGUAGUUACAGUGUUGGUUACUGACCUGAUACGGGAUAUACAGUUCUGUGGAAAACCAUAUCGGGGCGUAGUUACAGGGUUAGGCACUGACCCGAUACGGGAUAUACGGGUCUGUGGAAAACCAUAUCGGGGCGUAGUUACAAGGUUAGUUACGGACCCGAUACGGGAUAUACGGUUCUGUGGAAACAAUUUCGGGGCGACGUUUUCCACAGAACCGUAUAUCCCGUAUCGGGUCAGUAACUUAUCUUGUAACAAUUAUAUCACGCCAACUACUUUCCAACUCAUCAAAAUAACAAUUAUGGUUAUAUAUAACCAGUAUUAUUAUAUUUCUACUGCUCCAUAUAGUCUACUGACACCAUAUAGAAUAUAUGGGUUCAUCAUGUGUCGUCAAACAGCCAAUGAGAGAAGAGUAUUUUGUAGAUGGUGUGAUAUAUAUUGUUAUUUUUAUUGGGUGUUAACAAAUUGG